GUGCCAGCAGCCGCGGUAAUACGUAGGGUGCGAGCGUUAAUCGGAAUUACUGGGCGUAAAGCGUGCGCAGGCGGUUUGUUAAGACCGAUGUGAAAUCCCCGGGCUCAACCUGGGAACUGCAUUGGUGACUGGCAAGCUAGAGUAUGGCAGAGGGGGGUAGAAUUCCACGUGUAGCAGUGAAAUGCGUAGAGAUGUGGAGGAAUACCCGAUGGCGAAGGCAGCCCCCUGGGCCAAUACUGACGCUCAUGCACGAAAGCGUGGGGAGCAAACAGGAUUAGAUACCCUGGUAGUCC
rnacentral:rRNA from 1 species